AUAUACAAGGGAUGAGUAAGAGAGCCAAGAUUGACAAACAAGCAUACGAGAAAUCUGGUGUUCAGAAGGUAACAAAUCGUGGAUUUGAGAAAGCAUAUAAUUUUGGCAUCGAAGAUCAAAAGUUCAAUCAGUAAGCAGUAAGGAUUUGGUGUUGUUUCAUUGCUUUUCCGAACAAUGUACGGAAAGAGCCCGGAAUAUGAGAGCUGCAAGGUUGACAUCUAAAGAUGCCAUGUAAACUUCAAAGGAGUACCUUUGUCCAAUAUCCUGAUUUAACAUAUGAUUAAGGAGCAGGCCCUGAGGAGUGUAAGAAAUGAGAUUCGGAAAUCCAGAAAUUUGUUUCCUGUCAUCCAAAUAACCAUAAAUUUUUCUUCUAAUUGAUUAUUCCUCCAGAGUCUAAACUCUCAAUUACCGGGAAAGCUAGGUAGAAGUAAUGGAAGGUCACACUAAUCCUAUUGCACAAAAUUACUGAUUCUUCAUCAACAAGUUGCCUGUAUGUCUCCUGUACAGCAUCAUGGACAAUCCAAUAGCUCUCUGGAACUCGUUCCUGGAAUUGUUGGCUAUUUUGAACUAUGAUACCCUGACAGCUCCAAGCUUCUGCAACAUUUGCUGGUUAUGUUGUUUAUGACGCUGUAAUGGCCACUGUGUCUGAGCUGCUGCAACGCUUGCUGGUGAUUUCGCCUUUGCUGUUAGUGAUUGUGGUUCAUUGGCUAUCCACAGGCAGCCAGGUCAACAUUGGGAUUCCAGGGUCUGAGCCAGGAGCUAUCCACAGAGCUGGGGGAUCACCUUGGGGUG